AGUGAACGCUGGCGGUAGGCCUAACACAUGCAAGUCGAACGGCAGCACAGUAAGAGCUUGCUCUUACGGGUGGCGAGUGGCGGACGGGUGAGGAAUACAUCGGAAUCUACUUUUUCGUGGGGGAUAACGUAGGGAAACUUACGCUAAUACCGCAUACGACCUACGGUUGAAAGAAGGGGAUCUUCGGACCUUGCGCGUUUGAUUGAGCCGAUGUCGGAUUAGCUAGUUGGCGGGGUAAAGGCCCACCAAGGCGACGAUCCGUAGCUGGUCUGAGAGGAUGAUCAGCCACACUGGAACUGAGACACGGUCCAGACUCCUACGGGAGGCAGCAGUGGGGAAUAUUGGACAAUGGGCGCAAGCCUGAUCCAGCCAUACCGCGUGGGUGAAGAAGGCCUUCGGGUUGUAAAGCCCUUUUGUUGGGAAAGAAAAGCAGCAGGUUAAUACCCCGCUGUUCUGACGGUACCCAAAGAAUAAGCACCGGCUAACUUCGUG
rnacentral:rRNA from 1 species